UAAGGAAUAUUGGUCAAUGGAGGCAACUCUGAACCAGCCAUGCCGCGUGCAGGAAGAAGGCCCUAUGGGUCGUAAACUGCUUUUGAACAAGAGAAAACCCCGGUACGUGUACUGGGUUGAUAGUAUUGUUAGAAUAAGCAUCGGCUAACUUCGUGCCAGCAGCCGCGGUAAGACGAAGGAUGCAAGCGUUAUCCGGAUUCAUUGGGUUUAAAGGGUGCGUAGGCGGACUGAUAAGUCAGUGGUGAAAUCUCUCGGCUUAACCGAGAAACUGCCAUUGAUACUGUUAGUCUAGAGUACAGAUGAUGUGGGCGGAAUAUGACAUGUAGUGGUGAAAUACUUAGAUAUGUCAUAGAACACCGAUUGCGAAGGCAGCUCACAAAACUGUAACUGACGCUGAGGCACGAAAGUGCGGGGAUCAAACAGGAUUAGAUACCCUGGUAGUCCCUGAGCGGGCUGGCAAGGCGCAU
rnacentral:rRNA from 1 species